rnacentral:lncRNA from 1 species
GGGAAGAUGAUGGUUUGGUAGUGACGACUCUUUCAGCUGUGUGAUGCGGGAAAGAGAUUUUCUUCGGUCGUGUGAUGCGGGAAGAGGAUGAUGUGGUAAUGAUGACUCUUUUGGCCGUGUGAUGCGGGAAAGAGAUUCUCUUCAGCCGUGUGAUGCGGGAAGAUGAUGGGUUUGGUAGUGAUAACUCUUUUGGUUGUAUGAUGCGGAAAAGAGGUGCUCUUGGGCUGUGUGAUACGAGAAAAGGGUGUCAUGUGAAUUGGUUAUGGUGGUUAGGUGGUGUGGUAGUGUAGAGGAAAUAGACUGAAGUGGUGAUGUUAUGGUUGUGAUGUUAUUGUUGAG